rnacentral:rRNA from 1 species
AGGCUUAACACAUGCAAGUCGAGGGGCAGCAUGGUCUUAGCUUGCUAAGGCCGAUGGCGACCGGCGCACGGGUGAGUAACACGUAUCCAACCUGCCGUCUACUCUUGGACAGCCUUCUGAAAGGAAGAUUAAUACAAGAUGGCAUCAUGAGUCCGCAUGUUCACAUGAUUAAAGGUAUUCCGGUAGACGAUGGGGAUGCGUUCCAUUAGAUAGUAGGCGGGGUAACGGCCCACCUAGUCUUCGAUGGAUAGGGGUUCUGAGAGGAAGGUCCCCCACAUUGGAACUGAGACACGGUCCAAACUCCUACGGGAGGCAGCAGUGAGGAAUAUUGGUCAAUGGGCGAGAGCCUGAACCAGCCAAGUAGCGUGAAGGAUGACUGCCCUAUGGGUUGUAAACUUCUUUUAUAAAGGAAUAAAGUCGGGUAUGGAUACCCGUUUGCAUGUACUUCAUGAAUAAGGAUCGGCUAACUCCGUGCCAGCAGCCGCGGUAAUACGGAGGAUCCGAGCGUUAUCCGGAUUUAUUGGGUUUAAAGGGAGCGUAGAUGGAUGUUUAAGUCAGUUGUGAAAGUUUGCGGCUCAACCGUAAAAUUGCAGUUGAUACUGGAUAUCUUGAGUGCAGUUGAGGCAGGCGGAAUUCGUGGUGUAGCGGUGAAAUGCUUAGAUAUCACGAAGAACUCCGAUUGCGAAGGCAGCCUGCUAAGCUGCAACUGACAUUGAGGCUCGAAAGUGUGGGUAUCAAACAGGAUUAGAUACCCUGGUAGUCCACACGGUAAACGAUGAAUACUCGCUGUUUGCGAUAUACUGCAAGCGGCCAAGCAAAAGCGUUAAGUAUUCCACCUGGGGAGUACGCCGGCAACGGUGAAACUCAAAGGAAUUGACGGGGGCCCACACAAGCGGAGGAACAUGUGGUUUAAUUCGAUGAUACGCGAGGAACCUUACCCGGGCUUAAAUUGCAGAUGAAUUACGGCGAAAGCCGUAAGCCGCAAGGCAUCUGUGAAGGUGCUGCAUGGUUGUCGUCAGCUCGUGCCGUGAGGUGUCGGCUUAAGUGCCAUAACGAGCGCAACCCUUGUUGUCAGUUACUAACAGGUUCCGCUGAGGACUCUGACAAGACUGCCAUCGUAAGAUGUGAGGAAGGUGGGGAUGACGUCAAAUCAGCACGGCCCUUACGUCCGGGGCUACACACGUGUUACAAUGGGGGGUACAGAGGGCCGCUACCACGCGAGUGGAUGCCAAUCCCCAAAACCUCUCUCAGUUCGGACUGGAGUCUGCAACCCGACUCCACGAAGCUGGAUUCGCUAGUAAUCGCGCAUCAGCCACGGCGCGGUGAAUACGUUCCCGGGCCUUGUACACACCGCCCGUCAAGCCAUGGGAGCCGGGGGUACCUGAAGUGCGUAACCGCGAGGAGCGCCCUAGGGUAAAACUGGUGACUGGGGCUAAGUCGUA